AUGCAAACAAGUUGACAUUUACAUUUACGCUUGACGUGUUUGAAACUUUGAUUAAAAUUUUUCUUCUGCGAGCACACCACAUCAUAUUUUGGCAUCAUUGAGGUAUAUGGCAGGGGAGAUUUUACUCUGAAGGAUUCAAUGCCAUUAAUGUGCAGGCUGUUGUUGACGUCAACAUGAGAUGUCAGCAUGUCACUGAUGGAUGCUUGCCUUUCAAGCCCAAUAAGUGAUGUUAACAAGAAACUGUUUCCAUGCGUCUGCCGUCUGCGUAACCUCUGUCUUGAACGUUCCUCUGAUAAAGGAUUUGGUUUGAGACGUGAUGGGAAAUGAAGUAAUUAACAACACACCAGCACAGGGAGCAGCAUUUAAUAAGAGACAGCAGCUGAUCAAACUGUUUGAUAAAAAUGUUUUAAAUUGGUACAAUUGAUGUAGUUAUUAAUGUUAUUAAGUGAUA